rnacentral:rRNA from 1 species
UACGGAGGGUGCAAGCGUUAUCCGGAAUCACUGGGUUUAAAGGGUGCGUAGGCGGCUUGAUAAGUCAGGGGUGAAAGCCCGCAGCUUAACUGCGGAACUGCCUUUGAUACUGUCGAGCUUGAAAGAGGUUGAGGUCAGCGGAACGUGACAUGUAGCGGGGAAAUGCAUAGAUAUGUCACAGAACACCGAUUGCGAAGGCAGCUGGCUGGACCUACUUUGACGCUGAGGCACCAAAGCGUCGGGAGCGAACACG